rnacentral:lncRNA from 10 species
CUGGGAUGAUUCACAUUCAUCACUUGUGCUGGAUGAGCAAACAAGACCACAUUCAGAGAAUUCACAUCAGACAGUGUCUCGGUGCCUAGAGAAUUGAGGAGCAUAUCAUGCACUUGGUGCUCUAGCUCCAGGUCAAGAGAAGGCAACAGACUGACUCAAGAGAAAGUCCUCCACCUACAUGAAGUCCUUGACUUGUUGGUUGCUUCCUCAAAGAAUGUUCGCAAUGACUCAGCCUUCCAACUUUGAGGAGAAGCUAGUCCCAUUUGUCCUGUUGGCUCCCGGGCCAGGCAUUGGAAAAGCUGAAGCAGAAGAUUCGGCAGGAGUUGGGGGAGCCCUGAGCCUGCCUGCUGUCCUGUGCCAAGAAGAAGAGCCAGAAGAUAACCAUAAUUACCCAGAAGCUGCUUCCACUCACCUACUGAGAGUAAAGCAAUUGGGCCACACCUCUAUUUCUGCCUUCUAGAUCUCACAUAAAUGUCUCUUGGGUCUUACAUCAAGUUGAAAGUAUUCAGAGAAGGGUAUUGUGGGAAAUGC